AGUGGCGGACGGGUGAGUAACGCGUAAGAAUCUAACUUCAGGACGGGGACAACAGUUGGAAACGACUGCUAAUACCCGAUGUGCCGCAAGGUGAAACCUAAUUGGCCUGAAGAAGAGCUUGCGUCUGAUUAGCUAGUUGGUGGGGUAAGAGCCUACCAAGGCGACGAUCAGUAGCUGGUCUGAGAGGAUGAGCAGCCACACUGGGACUGAGACACGGCCCAGACUCCUACGGGAGGCAGCAGUGGGGAAUUUUCCGCAAUGGGCGAAAGCCUGACGGAGCAACGCCGCGUGAGGGAGGAAGGUCUUUGGAUUGUAAACCUCUUUUCUCAAGGAAGAAGUUCUGACGGUACUUGAGGAAUCAGCCUCGGCUAACUCCGUGCCAGCAGCCGCGGUAAUACGGGGGAGGCAAGCGUUAUCCGGAAUUAUUGGGCGUAAAGCGUCCGCAGGUGGUCAGCCAAGUCUGCUGUCAAAUCAGGUUGCUUAACGACCUAAAGGGGUGGAAACUGGCAGACUAGAGAGCAGUAGGGGUAGCAGGAAUUCCCAGUGUAGCGGUGAAAUGCGUAGAGAUUGGGAAGAACAUCGGUGGCGAAAGCGUGCUACUGGGCUGUAUCUGACACUCAGGGACGAAAGCUAGGGGAGCGAAAGGGAUUAGAUACCCCUGUAGUCCUAGCCGUAAACGAUGGAUACUAGGCGUGGCUUG
rnacentral:rRNA from 1 species